AAUAAGAUGCCUGAUUAAAGGAUUAUUUUGAUAGAAUAAAUUAUGUAUAAAUUUUUACUCUUAUUG
rnacentral:tRNA from 1 species